rnacentral:misc_RNA from 1 species
GAUGAAGAACGUAGCGAAAUGCGAUAAGUAAUGUGAAUUGCAGAAUUCAGUGAAUCAUCGAAUCUUUGAACGCACCUUGCACCCUUUGGCAUUCGAAGGGUAUGCUCGUUUGAGUGUCAUUGUACUCUCACACUUCCAAUUCUUUGGAUUGGGAGCGGUGGACUUGGGUGCUGCUGCUUACCGUGGCUCACCUCAAAUGUGUUAGUGCAACCGUUGGUUAGACAUAGUACAGCGUGAUAAGUAUCUUCGCUGGCGCCUCACCAGAGGGUGGCUGAUCAGGGCUUUGUGCUUCCAAUCGUCUUCGGACAACCACUGACAACUUGACCUCAAAUCGAGUAGGACUACCCGCUGAACUUAAGCAUAUCAAUAAGCGGAGGA